GAUGAACGCUGGCGGCGUGCCUAACACAUGCAAGUCGAACGGAGAUUACGGACGGAAGUUUUCGGAUGGAAGACUGUAAUUCUUAGUGGCGGACGGGUGAGUAACGCGUGGGCAACCUGCCCUAUACAGGGGGAUAGCAGCUGGAAACGGCUGGUAAGACCGCAUAAGUCGGCGAGACCGCAUGGUUUUGCCGGGAAAUGAGCAAUCAGGUAUAGGAUGGGCCCGCGUCCGAUUAGCCAGUUGGCAGGGUAAAAGCCUACCAAAGCAACGAUCGGUAGCCGGACUGAGAGGUCGGACGGCCACAUUGGGACUGAGACACGGCCUAAACUCCUACGGGAGGCAGCAGUGGGGGAUAUUGCACAAUGGAGGAAACUCUGAUGCAGCGACGCCGCGUGAGUGAAGAAGUAUUUCGGUAUGUAAAGCUCUAUCAGCAGGGAAGAUGAUGACGGUACCUGACUAAGAAGCCCCGGCUAACUACGUG
rnacentral:rRNA from 1 species